UGUUAAAGCAGUAGAGGCAGUAACAGUGUC
rnacentral:piRNA from 1 species